rnacentral:rRNA from 1 species
CCCUUAGACGUUCUGGGCCGCACGCGCGCUACACUGACGAAGGCAACGAGCUUUCCUUUACCGAAAGGUACGGGUAAUCUUUUGAAACUUCGUCGUGCUGGGGAUUGAUCCUUGCAAUUUUUGAUCUUAAACGAGGAAUGCCUAGUAAGCGCAAGUCAUCAACUUGCGUUGAUUACGUCCCUGCCCUUUGUACACACCGCCCGUCGCUACUACCGAUUGAAUGGUUUAGUGAGGCCUUCGGAUCCGCGACUCGUUUGUGGAGAAGUUGGACAAACUCAGUCAUUUAGAGGAAGUAAAAGUCGUAACA